CUCUGCCUCAGAGGUCUUCUCAAGCCACUACUGUUCCCAAGGAUGCCUAAUUGCAAUGCCAGCUUCUGGGGUGAACAUGGACCCACUGUCAUCGGGCAAGGUCUAGGAUGGACAUGGAGACCCACCAUCUGGGAGAUUCCAGAGUGGACGUGAACCCACCAUCAUCAGAGAGCUUCAUGGAGUAUUCAGAAGCUGGCGGGUGUCACCUGGAGGAUGUGACUGGGUACCAGUGCCAGAGCACGUGCCCACUGAGCAGUCUUCUUCACUUUCCUCGAUCCUCAUGAAACAUUCCGGGAUCUUUACCUCAAAGGACUCCAGAGGCUACAUCAUUGUCUUGGAACUGGUCAGUGGCUGGAGCUCUCUCCAGGACAAGUGCUUGGAGGAAGAACCUGGACAAGCUUCCCUCCCCAUACUGUUGACUGGAUCUUGUAGCUACCGUUAGCCACCAUCAUCGCCAUUGUGUGCCUCUUAGGAGCAUUUCCAGGAGGUGAUGCCAGCUGGGGAAAGAGCCUCUGUCCCACAGCCGUCGGUGCCCGCUGCAGCCUGCGCCCAGGAUGUCACAGCCUCAGCUCAACACCUCUGCUGGACAGCUUCAGGUGGUGAUUCCAGCUCCAGGGUUGCUGCGGUCAACACUGGGUACUUGAGGAGAGGUUGUCUGUGAUGAGUUCGCUUUAUUAAUGACGAAUAUAACACAGAUGGCCUGUUUUCAAUACCACCUGCCACUCCGGUCACUCGGCAGUACAUACCAGGUGUCACACCACUGCCCGGCAGGUGACAACGCUGAAUUGGUCCUCAGGAGCGGAUGUUCAAGGAACCCUGCCUAUGCACCAUGCUAGCUGCCAGUCCUAGGUUGGGACAUUCCACUGGGGACAUCCAUGGGAGAGCUAUGGCCAUUAACAAGUCCUGAGCCCUGACCUGAAGCCAUCAGUGGCCUAGCUGCUCUACCUGACUUUGUGGCCUCCCUUCCUGGAUCUCUCGCUUACGACAACCGACAACAAAGAUGUUUGACUCCAGAAGAUGCUCCCCGCGGCCCACCUGAGAGGACUGUCCACACCCCACCCCACUGCGCCCUGUGCCAUCUACCUCUGAGUCCCCAACUUCUCACCCAUGUUUCAACUCCCACCCCAGAGCCUUGUAUUCCAGAUCUGAGCAGCCCUUGCUUAGGAACCUGAGGUGGGGGGUGGGUAGGCAGACCCAGGGGACUGAGCAGGGAGGGGAAGGAGGGGUUUCUGCUCUUGGCUUUCAAAGUUCUCAGUGUGUGUAGCCCUUUGAAUAAUAAACAUAUGUCAUAUAAUGUAAAAAAAAAAAAAAAAAA
rnacentral:lncRNA from 1 species